GAGUUUGAUCGUGGCUCAGAACGAACGCUGGCGGCAGGCUUAACACAUGCAAGUCGAACGGUUGUAGCAAUACAGCAGUGGCGCACGGGUGAGUAACACGUGGAUAUCUGCCUUUUGGUUCGGGAUAACCCUGGGAAACUAGGGCUAAUACCGAAUGGUUCCUACGGGAUAAAGAUUUAUCGCCAAAAGAUGAGUCCGCGUCCGAUUAGCUAGUUGGUGAGGUAACGGCUCACCAAGGCGACGAUCGGUAGCUGGUCUGAGAGGACGAUCAGCCACACUGGGACUGAGACACGGCCCAGACUCCUACGGGAGGCAGCAGUGGGGAAUAUUGGACAAUGGGGGCAACCCUGAUCCAGCCAUGCCGCGUGAGUGAUGAAGGCCUUCGGGUUGUAAAGUCGUCUUUUGGUCGGGGACGGAGUGAUGACGGUACCCGCCAGAAUAAGACCCGGCCGUAACUUCGUGCCAGCAGCCGCCGCGG
rnacentral:rRNA from 1 species